rnacentral:lncRNA from 1 species
GCUAAUACUGAAAACAUUUAGAGUAUUAAAUACUGUCUCCUUGUUCACUGAGGCACUUUUCUUUCUCAGUCACGUGGAAGCAGUUCUUUCAUAGAACUCUCCCCAGACUAGAGAAAGAUCCUUAGAGCUGAAGGGAGGAGUUUAACAAUCAAGACGCUCGUGUGGGUUUCCUACCCCCUCCUCUUUCACUUGAGGUGAUUCUAAACUAUUGGGGACAAAGUAGAAUCCCCCGAUAACUUUAGGGAUCUGCAACUGGGUAAAAUCUGUGCUCCCAAGGUGCUACGUGUCUUCUUGGCAGAAGAGGAUAUAAAUGAAAUGGCUAAAUGGAUUCUCCGUGCACCAAAACUUACAGUCUAGAUGGAUGGUUUUUCUAGAUGAUGUUGGCAUAGCUUGUAAGCUGAAACAAUUCAAGGAGACUUGCAACAGUAUAUGUGGCAUGGAUCAUAUGAUGAAAUCACAUGAGAAUUGGACCCCUCACAUGAUGCCAUUGUGAGGAUUUAAUUCCAGAACUAGAUUGUAGGAUACGCCUUAGUGGAUGUCACUAUAGGCAGAUGGUAAUGGAGGACAAGAUGCCACCAUCUCCCAGGUCACCUGUCACCAAAAUUACCUUGGUAUUUAGACACAAUACCAGGAAGAAAAGGAAAGGUUCUUCAAACCGAAGACAAAUUUCAAGGGGAAGAUUAUGCAGCUGCAGACUUCUUUUUUCUUUUUUCCCCACAGCCCAUGGGGGUAAUGAAAGGGGAAAUCACAUGAGGUUUUAUCACCUGCGCUCCUUCCACUGAAAGGCUCAUUCUCUUCAUAGUGGGACUUUCUUCUAGGGUGGCUCUGUUUAGUGCCUUUGCUGUCUUCCAGGGACUUCCCUGAAAAAAUUGGAGUAGGUUGUGGAGUGUCAGGGAAAGGGGAAUACCAACAUGACUUUCAAAAUUCAAACAAGAAUAUUUGUGGUUGUGCAUCCACCUAUAUGAAAGCCCUGUGCAAUGUGAGCUGUACUCUAAAUUGAAACUGGUAGUUAUAAAUAAUAUUAUUAACAUUCCCCAAAUACUAACGCACUCAAGUCAAGAUUAGUAUAUAUAUAGUUGUAGGUGUGUCCAUGUUAUUCAUUUCGAAAUUCUUCCUGAAGAUUGUUAAGGACAAAAAGAGAUGAAAACCUCCUAAACCAGUGACUCUGAUUAUAGACUGUAUAAAAUAUCGGAAUGAUUUUUAUUAAUUAAUUUAGGAUUUUUUGGAAUAUCUACUAAGGGCCCAGCACUAUGCUAGGAGUACAUAGUCUCUCUUACUGUUCCUUUCUCUUCUCUGUACUUACCUGUGUUACUUUACUCAACCCCUACUGCAAAAGCUCUGAGAGGCCUCUGUCAGCUCUCUGGAAAGUCUCUGCUUAGAAACAGAGAGCUCUCUGUGUUGUACCUCUCGGGAACAAAAGUGUGAUAGCUGAUGGCUGAACUGGGUGCAAAAACAGAAAAAAAUAGAGCUGAGUCAACUGCCAACUGGAAACAGCUCCUUCCUAAUUCAAAUGAACUUCUUUAUUUGUGUAAUAUUGCCUUCAACUACCAGGAUUGCUUUGGAAAAAGUCUAUUCUCUCUGAAAACACAAGGUUAGAAACGAGCUAGGAGUGCAAAAUGUAGGGGUGGAAUACCAAAGAAUCUAUAACAUUUAUUGUCAAAAAUUAUAAUUUUUUUUCUGCAGGCUUUUGUAUUCUCAGUCCACGAGAAGAGCUGAAGGGAAGCAAAUUUUCAAUUCAAGGCUUGAGAAUACAUUUUACGCACCUAUAUAUAUUGCCAGAGGCGGGAUUUAAAUUCUCUCGGAUUUCUGUAAUUGGUGUCAUGGUAACGCAGUAGAGGGCUUCAGUGUGGUUUCAGGUGUUUUAGUUUAUUUGUUUUUAUUUAUUUUUUCUGAUAAUGUUAGAUUCUUGUUAAAAAUUUUCUUGUUAAAUGAACUUUGGUAUAGAAUUAACGUUUUCCACCCAGACUUCCCCUAGAAAAAAUAGCAAUUGUGUCACUGUAGGAGUACUAUAACCAGGAUAUACCUACUAAUUUGUUGAUGGCCAAUUUUUAAAAUAUGCUAUGAUGUAGAUUCCAUUAUUGCCACCAAUAGCUUAUAAGAAAGUGUCCUUACCUUUUCACAAAUGAAAGGAAUAUCCAUUUUGGCUGAAUGCAAUUAUUUUACUAACAUGAUUAACUAAAAUAUGUGGCAUGGAAAUAAAAUUCUUACAUAAAAGCA